rnacentral:rRNA from 1 species
GAUGAACGCUGGCGGCGUGCCUAAUACAUGCAAGUCGAGCGAACGGACGAGAAGCUUGCUUCUCUGAUGUUAGCGGCGGACGGGUGAGUAACACGUGGAUAACCUACCUAUAAGACUGGGAUAACUUCGGGAAACCGGAGCUAAUACCGGAUAAUAUUUUGAACCGCAUGGUUCAAAAGUGAAAGACGGUCUUGCUGUCACUUAUAGAUGGAUCCGCGCUGCAUUAGCUAGUUGGUAAGGUAACGGCUUACCAAGGCAACGAUGCAUAGCCGACCUGAGAGGGUGAUCGGCCACACUGGAACUGAGACACGGUCCAGACUCCUACGGGAGGCAGCAGUAGGGAAUCUUCCGCAAUGGGCGAAAGCCUGACGGAGCAACGCCGCGUGAGUGAUGAAGGUCUUCGGAUCGUAAAACUCUGUUAUUAGGGAAGAACAUAUGUGUAAGUAACUGUGCACAUCUUGACGGUACCUAAUCAGAAAGCCACGGCUAACUACGUGCCAGCAGCCGCGGUAAUACGUAGGUGGCAAGCGUUAUCCGGAAUUAUUGGGCGUAAAGCGCGCGUAGGCGGUUUUUUUAAGUCUGAUGUGAAAGCCCACGGCUCAACCGUGGAGGGUCAUUGGAAACUGGAAAACUUGAGUGCAGAAGAGGAAAGUGGAAUUCCAUGUGUAGCGGUGAAAUGCGCAGAGAUAUGGAGGAACACCAGUGGCGAAGGCGACUUUCUGGUCUGUAACUGACGCUGAUGUGCGAAAGCGUGGGGAUCAAACAGGAUUAGAUACCCUGGUAGUCCACGCCGUAAACGAUGAGUGCUAAGUGUUAGGGGGUUUCCGCCCCUUAGUGCUGCAGCUAACGCAUUAAGCACUCCGCCUGGGGAGUACGACCGCAAGGUUGAAACUCAAAGGAAUUGACGGGGACCCGCACAAGCGGUGGAGCAUGUGGUUUAAUUCGAAGCAACGCGAAGAACCUUACCAAAUCUUGACAUCCUUUGACAACUCUAGAGAUAGAGCCUUCCCCUUCGGGGGACAAAGUGACAGGUGGUGCAUGGUUGUCGUCAGCUCGUGUCGUGAGAUGUUGGGUUAAGUCCCGCAACGAGCGCAACCCUUAAGCUUAGUUGCCAUCAUUAAGUUGGGCACUCUAAGUUGACUGCCGGUGACAAACCGGAGGAAGGUGGGGAUGACGUCAAAUCAUCAUGCCCCUUAUGAUUUGGGCUACACACGUGCUACAAUGGACAAUACAAAGGGCAGCGAAACCGCGAGGUCAAGCAAAUCCCAUAAAGUUGUUCUCAGUUCGGAUUGUAGUCUGCAACUCGACUACAUGAAGCUGGAAUCGCUAGUAAUCGUAGAUCAGCAUGCUACGGUGAAUACGUUCCCGGGUCU